UCAAAAAGGGAUUGCUGUAAGAAAAGGCGAAAAAAAGAUAAGGAGUUUUUUCUUCUUCUUUGAUUUAGAUCUCUAAAUCAAUCCCUGCUUUUGAAUUGGUUAGUCAUUUUCUCAAAUAUUCCUCCAAUUUUGAAGCCCAAGUUGUUUUAGGAGUUGAUAUUGUAUCCCUCAUCUUCUUUUCUUUUGUGCUAAAAAAACCCAUCGAUUCAAUUCAAUGGCCAACAACAAUCUUCCUCGAAGAAUUAUUUAAGGUGAAUUUUCCUGUUUGAGCUUUUGGUUCAUCAUAUUCUGUGAUCCAACGUUUUUUUUUCAUGUAGAAAUUUCGAUUUAAACCCAUCUGUGUUUGAUCACUCCUUAGCUAGGAUUUUUUAUUUACUGUUUGAUGUUCUGACUCGAUUUAGGUGAUUUUGUGUUUCAGCAUUUUCUCGGCGAACCUGGGAAAUACAUCUCUGCGGAAAUCAUGUACGUAUUAGUUUUCUUCUUUAAUACUAGAAGAGAAAUUAUUGAGUAUUGGAAUGAAAUGGCCCCAAAUAUAGGUGAAGAAAAAGCCAAUUUAUGCAAUUCAAAUUGAAGCAUUGAAGUUAUCUUCAUACUACCUGAACCUAUUUCUCUUUACCUUUCACCAAAGAUGCGUUUUUGUGCUUUUUUCCCUUGAAUUUCGGCAAGCAUGGUUGACAUGAUUUAAUUUGUUGAUUUUGGUAUGAGCAAGUGUUCUGCCCCUUGAAGCUUUUCGUGAAUUUCUUCAUUCGAUUGUGUUUUUGAUUUGGUUGCAACCUAUAUUGCUAACAGAGAUUUAAAAGUUUUUUGUGUGGUUUAACUCUGACUGCAGCACCAGGAUAAGCGCUUCUCCAUCAAAAGAAAACAUGCGAUAUUUUAAUGUCACGAUUCUUGUGCAACACAGUCUCCUAUGAAGGUAAUUUCCUCAAUCAAUAUGUUAAGCAAAUGAAAGUUCAUGUUGCUAUUGUAGCGUGAAGAUGUGUUCCAGCCAAAGCAUCAUCAUCAAUUACCUUAUUUUGUGAAUUUAUAACUUUCCAGUUCUGCCCAUUAUUUUGUGAAUUUAUAGCUUCCCAGUUCUGCCACUAUUUCCUCCUUUCUUUUGUGAAUUUAUGUAGAUAACGAGUGUGUGAAAAAACCUAUAAGUAUUUUAAUGCCACUAAAAUGAAAAUAUGAGAUGCAUCUAAACUCUAACUUCCCAGUUCUGCCACUAUUUCCCCUUUCUUUUGUGAAUUUAUGUAGAUAACGAGUGUGUGAAAAAACCUAUAAGUAUUUUAAUGCCACUAAAAUGAAAAUAUGAGAUGCAUCUAAACUAUAACUUCCCAGUUCUGGCCAUUAUUUUGUGUAACUUUAAGCUUUCUUCUUUUUUAUAUGUAUCUUGCUAUCUUUGUCAUCCUAUUGCAGUUCAUGCUUAUUACUAAACAAAAGCAUCGACACUUUCUUUUAUCAACUGGUUCUUAUCUUUUGUUACUACCAUCUUCUUAAUUACAAGGUUCUUACCCUUUCACUUGUUUUUCUCAAGUAGUUUUUGAGGCAAAGUAAACCUCCAACUGCUAUAUUUUUGCCAUUGCACUAUCUCUUUGAAAGGCUGGAUUAAAGAAAAACAAGAAUAUAUGGGACGCAUGAUGCUUUAAAAAGGUACCUCAAAAUCUCCUUAUGCUGCGAUGACUGACUACUGAGCUUGGGACUCCAGCUCACUGCAAAUGAUGAAUUAGACGUAUGCUUGUGUUGUAGUUGAAGUCACAAAAAUUGCAAAUGAUGAAUUAAGAUAUGCUUAUGUUGUAGUUGAAGACCCAAACAGUUAUAAUUGUUGGAAAGGUUGAUUCCCGUA